GCUCAGGAUGAACGCUGGCGGCGUGCCUAAUACAUGCAAGUCGAGCGAACGGACGAGAAGCUUGCUUCUCUGAUGUUAGCGGCGGACGGGUGAGUAACACGUGGAUAACCUACCUAUAAGACUGGGAUAACUUCGGGAAACCGGAGCUAAUACCGGAUAAUAUUUUGAACCGCAUGGUUCAAAAGUGAAAGACGGUCUUGCUGUCACUUAUAGAGGGAUCCGCGCUGCAUUAGCUAGUUGGUAAGGUAACGGCUUACCAAGGCAACGAUGCAUAGCCGACCUGAGAGGGUGAUCGGCCACACGGGAACUGAGACACGGUCCAGACUCCUACGGGAGGCAGCAGUAGGGAAUCUUCCGCAAUGGGCGAAAGCCUGACGGAGCAACGCCGCGUGAGUGAUGAAGGUCUUCGGAUCGUAAAACUCUGUUAUUAGGGAAGAACAUAUGUGUAAGUAACUGUGCACAUCUUGACGGUACCUAAUCAGAAAGCCACGGCUAACUACGUGCCAGCAGCCGCGGUAAUACGUAGGUGGCAAGCGUUAUCCGGAAUUAUUGGGCGUAAAGCGCGCGUAGGCGGUUUUUUAAGUCUGAUGUGAAAGCCCACGGCUCAACCGUGGAGGGUCAUUGGAAACUGGAAAACUUGAGUGCAGAAGAGGAAAGUGGAAUUCCAUGUGUAGCGGUGAAAUGCGCAGAGAUAUGGAGGAACACCAGUGGCGAAGGCGACUUUCUGGUCUGUAACUGACGCUGAU
rnacentral:rRNA from 1 species